rnacentral:misc_RNA from 1 species
CGCAUUUAUACCUCUCUUCUGUUACUCUUAUUUAUCCCCCAUUUUCUCCUCCGAUCAAUCGAAACAAAAAAGAUUGUAAAAAAAAAAUGGUGUUAACAACGACGUCGAUAAGAGAUUCAGAAGAGAGCUUGCACUGUACAUUUGCAUCAAGAUAUGUACAGGAACCUUUACCUAAGUUCAAAAUCCCUAAAAAAUCCAUGCCGAAGGAAGCAGCUUAUCAGAUUGUAAACGACGAGCUUAUGUUGGAUGGUAACCCCAGGUUGAAUUUAGCUUCCUUUGUUAGCACAUGGAUGGAGCCCGAGUGCGAUAAGCUCAUCAUGUCAUCCAUUAAUAAAAACUAUGUCGACAUGGAUGAGUAUCCUGUCACCACUGAACUUCAAAAUAGAUGUGUUAACAUGUUAGCACAUCUUUUCCAUGCCCCGGUUGGUGAUGAUGAGACUGCAGUUGGAGUUGGUACAGUGGGUUCAUCAGAGGCAAUAAUGCUUGCUGGCCUUGCUUUCAAACGCAAAUGGCAAUCGAAAAGAAAAGCAGAAGGCAAACCUUUCGAUAAGCCUAAUAUAGUCACUGGAGCUAAUGUGCAGGUCUGCUGGGAAAAAUUUGCAAGGUAUUUUGAGGUUGAGUUGAAGGAGGUGAAACUAAAAGAAGGAUACUAUGUAAUGGACCCUGCCAAAGCAGUAGAGAUAGUGGAUGAGAAUACAAUAUGUGUUGCUGCAAUCCUUGGUUCUACUCUGACUGGGGAGUUUGAGGAUGUGAAGCUCCUAAACGAGCUCCUUACAAAAAAGAACAAGGAAACCGGAUGGGAGACACCGAUUCAUGUCGAUGCUGCGAGUGGAGGAUUUAUUGCUCCUUUCCUCUGGCCAGAUCUUGAAUGGGAUUUCCGUUUGCCUCUUGUGAAAAGUAUAAAUGUCAGCGGUCACAAGUAUGGCCUUGUAUAUGCUGGUGUCGGUUGGGUGAUAUGGCGGAGCAAGGAAGACUUGCCCGAUGAACUCGUCUUUCAUAUAAACUACCUUGGGUCUGAUCAGCCUACUUUUACUCUCAACUUCUCUAAAGGUUCCUAUCAAAUAAUUGCACAGUAUUAUCAGUUAAUAAGACUUGGCUUUGAGGUAAUUAUCGAUAUCACAUUCGAGACGACUCUGUGUUUCUUCAAGUCUGAACAACAAUUCCCUGGAUUAUAUUAUUUAAUAUAAGUCGACAGCGGCCUUUUGCAGAUAGAUUGUGUACAAUAGACCCUUGUGGUUCGGCCUUCUCCGGAUCCUGCAUGUAGCGGGAGCUUUAGUAAACGGGGUUGUCCCUUUUUUCUACACUACCCUUUUUUCUAUCAUUUGUUAAUAUAAGUCGAAAGCUGAGACUCUUCAGGGGCAAUUUUUUUAGAUCUUAUGUCGUGCUUCCUAUGAUUAUGCAGAACGCCUUUGAAUUUAGAACACAUUUUACCCAUAAAGAGUUAUGGAGUAAAACAGUGGAAUAUUUAAAUGAUGUUUGUCAACAGCUAUUUUCCUUCUGAAUUCUGAGGUGGUUGAUAAAUCAUUUUGUGCAACAAAGUAAAUCUGACAUUAAUCGUAUUGAUUAAGCAUGAUAUAAAUGAUUUACACACUUGUUUUUUGUCUGCAAGGGUUAUAAGGACGUCAUGAAGAAUUGCUUAUCAAACGCAAAAGUACUAACAGAGGGAAUCACAAAAAUGGGGCGGUUCGAUAUUGUCUCUAAGGAUGUGGGUGUUCCUGUUGUAGCAUUUUCUCUCAGGGACAGCAGCAAAUAUACGGUAUUUGAAGUAUCUGAGCAUCUCAGAAGAUUUGGAUGGAUCGUCCCUGCAUACACAAUGCCACCGGAUGCUGAACACAUUGCUGUGCUGCGGGUUGUCAUUAGAGAGGAUUUCAGCCACAGCCUAGCUGAGAGACUUGUUUCUGACAUUGAGAAAAUUCUGUCAGAGUUGGACACACAGCCUCCUCGUUUGCCCACCAAAGCUGUCCGUGUCACUGCUGAGGAAGUGCGUGAUGACAAGGGUGAUGGGCUUCAUCAUUUUCACAUGGAUACUGUAGAGACUCAGAAAGACAUUAUCAAACAUUGGAGGAAAAUCGCAGGGAAGAAGACCAGCGGAGUCUGCUAGGUCUGGCCACACUUGUUAUCUGGGCUCCGCUUCCAUCGCCAUCCUGUAGUAUGUAUUACGUGUGUUGUUUCCAUCUUAUGUAGUAGUUGGUACUGUAAUCUGUGUAAAUGCUUUCAUGAUCUUGGCUCUGUAUAUGCUAAAUAAGCACUGCAUUUCAAGUUCCUGGAAGUAUUUAUGUAUGAAUCAAUCCGGGCAUAAUUGGUAGAAUGCCCUCUCUGCGUCAUCUUUGAAUUUCACGUGCAAUAAUAUUUGAAAUCUACACCU